UACGAAGGGGGCUAGCGUUGCUCGGAAUCACUGGGCGUAAAGCGCACGUAGGCGGGUUGCCAAGUCGGGGGUGAAAUCCUGGAGCUCAACUCCAGAACUGCCUUCGAUACUGGCGGUCUUGGAGUCCGGGAGAGGUGAGUGGAACUGCGAGUGUAGAGGUGAAAUUCGUAGAUAUUCGCAAGAACACCAGUGGCGAAGGCGGCUCACUGGCCCGGUACUGACGCUGAGGUGCGAAAGCGUGGGGAGCAAACAGG
rnacentral:rRNA from 1 species